rnacentral:rRNA from 1 species
AUUGAACGCUGCGGCAGGCCUAACACAUGCAAGUCGCGCGGAUGAAGGGAGCUUGCUCCUGGAUUCAGCGGCGGACGGGUGAGUAAUGCCUAGGAAUCUGCCUGGUAGUGGGGGAUAACGUCCGGAAACGGGCGCUAAUACCGCAUACGUCCUGAGGGAGAAAGUGGGGGAUCUUCGGACCUCACGCUAUCAGAUGAGCCUAGGUCGGAUUAGCUAGUUGGUGGGGUAAAGGCCUACCAAGGCGACGAUCCGUAACUGGUCUGAGAGGAUGAUCAGUCACACUGGAACUGAGACACGGUCCAGACUCCUACGGGAGGCAGCAGUGGGGAAUAUUGGACAAUGGGCGAAAGCCUGAUCCAGCCAUGCCGCGUGUGUGAAGAAGGUCUUCGGAUUGUAAAGCACUUUAAGUUGGGAGGAAGGGCAGUAAGUUAAUACCUUGCUGUUUUGACGUUACCAACAGAAUAAGCACCGGCUAACUUCGUG